GGCACCGUGGUAUAAUUGGUUAACGCGUUGGCGUACAUUGCCGAAGUCGCUGGUCGGUGGUUCUAGUCCAGCCGGUACCC
rnacentral:tRNA from 1 species